rnacentral:misc_RNA from 1 species
AAGGACCUUUGUCACGGAUAGAUCGACUGUUCAAUUUAUAUAUAAAGGAUAUUAAGCCAUUAACAAGCAGCUGAAUUCGAGAAUAACUACUCCUGUUUUCGUGUGGUUGCGUGAUCAACUGGCUGAAGUUUUCCCAACCACUGAAAAAGAUUUGUGGUACAUAGAAC